AGUGCUAUGAAGUCAGUUUGUGAGGGCAGGCUUUUCAAUGGGGCACAUGCUUUGGAUAUUGAUAAUAAUAAUUGAAUGUAAAUUUCCAGUAAUUUCAUAACAGUUUUCAUUGUUAGAGGAAGUCUAAAAGUCAACUUGGCCUUUGAAAGGAAAGUCCUGUCACCAGAACUUAGACCCAAAUGCUACUUUCCAAGUACUCUUUAUCUUCUAAGCAUUACUGUAAGGUGUUGUCUGUGCUUAGAUCUUAUUUAGGACUCUGCCCAUUAGCAAAAUACAUAGGUUCAGGGAUUUUUCUUUAAUGUGUGUUUGCUCAUAAGGCUUUCCAUUAUCUUUCAUGUGUAAUGGCUUGACUGAAAUGCAUGUACAUGUUUUCAGCUAAGUCGCAGUGGGGGAAUAUGUGCCUGAAAAUAAACCGCUGCAGUUGGAACUGAUUAAUUCCUUGAUUGGCAGACUCAGGAAAUAGAGUCCUGAAUGUGAAAUGUCUUUGUUGUUUGGCCUUGGCUGAGACCUGUAGUUUUAACCUUGACUCUUCCGCCUGACUUUGUGGCCUGCAGACAAGGUUUGAAGAACUGAACUGAUAGGAAGACAUCCCCUCCAUCAGUUCAGGCUUGUCUCUGCUUUAAUCCUGUGUGAGCUAUCCCUGUAACCAGGCUGAGGCCUAUCUGAAUAUCGGGGAGAUUUGCUCUUUACUAUCGUAGCUCCCUGCUAAGGAUGGUGCCUUAUCAUGACUGGCACGAUUUCAGUGCUUUCCUUCGCAGUGCAGAGAAUAUGACAGGCAGCCAUGGCUAAUCCCUUGAGAGAAUGUUCUCCUGCUGAGGUACACAGUGAAAUUGGAAUGCUGCAAAUAAUUUGAAAAAGAUUAUUGUUCUUUACCUCAUGUUCUCAUUCUGCUUGUUGAUGCGUAGGGACAGAUUCAAGUUAGCAUUACUUAACCUCCUGUAAGAGCUAGGAACAUAGCCUUAAGUUAAGUUCAACAAUAGCUUGUUGGUUUCUUCUGGUAGACACUACCACUGUUGGAUGAGAAAUCCAAGUUCAGCAUCCUGAGGCCAAUGGCCUCACUUCUGGGGACUCUGAGGUAAUCUUUUGUGAAGCUCAUCUUUCAUGUUACUGUGCUGCUGUGUUAUCAAAAGCCACAGACAGGUUCAUCUCCAUCUGUGUAAAACUGCAUUCUGUGAGACUUGGGUCACAUAUGGGGAGGUUGUGCUUGGAGCCACACCAGUAAAACCUUUCCUCUAGCUCCUGGGAGCAGAUCCUAUUUGUUGGAGCUGUUUGAAUAGAGGACACCAGGUCCUGCAAAGUAAGAGUGUGGGUGUUUUGUGCUGGUCGCUGAGCACCAGCAUGUUAAUGUACAAAGGGUUGAAUCUAAAAGGUGGCUUGUGUGUCCCACAUCUAACUUCACUGUCUCUGUUGCUCCUUCUCCCAUUGAAUCCUUCCAGUGUUGACACCGUGUGUUUAGGAGACAACUGAACUUCUGCACUGAAGCAGUCUGCAACAGACCAUGGUGACAGCAACCUUCUGGAAGGCAAGGGUGUAAACCAGGGAGAGAUUGAAAGUUGUUUCACGAAGUUAGAAAAGUGAUUUGCUGGAGAACAAACUUGGUGUGAGGAAAAGGUGCACACGCGCUCUGCAGAAGGCAGAAAGACCUCAGAAGACACUGACUUUGUACCAGGGACUGAAUGUUGCACAUUGGGGAAAACUCACUGAAACCACUUGUCUCUUCAGGAUAUUAUCAGCAAUGACUGUGACUUCUCCAUAUUCUCCUGAUCUAUAGGACAUCAGUGUGGCAGAUCUUAAUGAUUUAUUGACCAUUUGCACUUUUCGUGUCAGGCCUUAUCCGUUUUUUCUCUUUCCUCCUGUAUCUUUUUCUUAUGUUUUGCAAAUCAAGCAAGCUUUCCAUAAAUGCUGUGUUCAGAAGGCAGCAGGUGGUGGAAUACAAAAGGCAGUGUUUGCAUUCCACCAUCAGGAAGUAUAUUCACUGUAAGUAUGAUGUGGUUGGAGUAGCACAAGAGCGAUGUGAUUGUAUUUACCUUUGAAGCAUUUUUUCAUGUCAGGACCCAGCCACAUGUUGUCAGGACAGGCACAGGUGUACUUGGGAGAAUGGGGAGAGAUCUGAGGUGCAGGGAGACACAGAUACUCACAGCCUCCGUUUGGCUGGGGGCUGAGCUCGCAGGAGUCUGGAGCUGUUCAAGGAUGGAAGAAAAGACAAGUUAUUUUUGUAAUUAUUUAGUUCUUGAUCUUGGCAAAGAAAUACCAGUUCAAGAAGACUCGUUUCCACUCCCUACCUCAGUUAAUUGGGCUGCUUAAGCACCUCUACAGUUUGGAGUAGAGUGAGACCUUACACACUGCUGCCAGAACUGCCCAAAUGUGAGACGAAUGGCAGCAGCACAGUGACAAGGGUAACUCACUGUUAUCAGAGGUGUUAAUUAAGCAGCUAUUAACAAAUUGCAGACUUCUCAAUAAUUGCUGCUGAAUUAAUCAUGCAGGAACUUCAGACUUUAGGCACUGAUUUCACAUUUAUUACCUGUGCAUUCUCUCUCGUUGAGAGCCACCAGGAAGCAUACCAUUUACUAGCUCAAAUAAACCUGAUGUAGGCCUUACCUUUGGGCUGCUUUAACUCAUGGAAUACCACGAUGUCAUGAGGAUUAUUGAGGUUUUCUGCCAGAACGGAGAUGUCCAAACCAUUCAGCCUGUUGGCGCUGAAGAUCGCUUCGUUCUCCAGGUCAGUCCAGAACACUCUGUCCUGCAGGAAACAUCGGAUUUCUGACCCCCUCAGAUCCAACUCAAGUUGGAUUAAACUCCACUAGUCACAGAGCCACUGCGCUGCGUUCCGACCUUGUGGCACCUUUGGUUCAUGCUACUUCUGUCGGCCGCUUUUUUGGGCACUGUCAUUUCUAGUGUUCAAAAGUACAGCAAUCCUACAUGUGCACAAAGAGCUCAGCAAUUUUAGUGGCUGUGAGACUGAGGUGAGGGAGCAGAAAUUUGGUUAAGUACAGAAGAGUUGCAUCCAUUCUGUUUCUGAACUGUGUGGUUUUUAAAAGACAGGCUGGAGCACAAGCAGAACCAAAAGGCCACACCAAAAACUUUUUUGCUGAUUUUUUUCUCCUUUCCAAAGAUAAGACCUGCUUUAAACAGGUAUCUAUGAAGAGGCCAGUGCCUAGAGCACACCUGGAAGAUGAGUAUCUAUUUCUCUUCUUUAUUAAUAUCUUUUGCAUGGCACACUAUGAAUGAAGAUGCAAAAUAACUGGUCAAGGAGGUACACAGGAACUGCAGUUAUCAAACUGUAUUUAGUUGCUCACUCAGCUAUGUGUGCUGCUGCCUGCUAAUUCCACAUGUAUUUCAGUAAGGAGAGCCACACUGCUGGAGAACAAGGGUUAUUUAUCAAAAUUAUAAUGAAAUAAAAAUUACAAUUAUUAAAUUA